GCCAAGCCUAUCCAACCCGGCGCAGAAGGCGAAAGUGAACUAUAGAACCGUGCAGCUAUGUAUGAUUUGAAGAUUUGUCGCAAGACAACGUCCAUUAGAUAAUUCUGUUAUCGAUAGAGCACUACUGUCUAUACCGUCUGUAAUUUCGACGGUAUCGUUCAUUAUUGCUGAGCCUAACGGGCGUUUGUGUUUCACCUAACCUAACCUAACCUCACUACAGAAUUUGCACAUUACAGCGCAAUUUAUUACUAGGGACACGCGACUUCCGGUUAGCCUUGUUCCCAGGAGGGGGGUCCGAUAUGGGAAUUUUGCAAUUUCGCUGACGACAUGGAAGGACGUCGUGAACACGAUAAGCACAAAAAAGGACGGCGCGAAAAAGAUAAACUCUCCCGAGUUUACACGAAAAAAAGUCAUCACAAAAGGGAACGACUUGAGGAAAGCUCCAGGAGCAGGCCAGCUGCUGAACAUGUACGAGAUGUCCCGCAGGAAGCCGAGAAAGACUUCUCGCGCUUCCGACGUGAAAUUUCAAGCAUCUUUUUUGGUGACAGUAGCCCAAUUCUGAGGGACUCGAAGCAGUACAACGAUUUCUGGACGUUCUUAAAAAAAUACCAGACCCAAAAACACAAGCAUUGCAGCCAAGACUGUUCAGAACAUGAUCGUCCCUCAAUCUCUUUGGGCAUCCCGCAACACUACAACCCUGUCUACAAGGUCAACAUCUCUGUGUUCUCAGGAUCCGCACGAGAGCUUAUGUUGAACGCAGGUAUUGUGUCCGAGUACGAUUCUCGAGAAUCUCUACAGGAAGUGGACGUCGAAGAAGUUCGCAAGGUCUUCCACCUCUACCUGAAUUUCCUGGAAAAGCAGAAAUUUGACAGACUAAUUAAGUUACGUGAAUUCCAGCGAAAUCUCCCGAUCGCGCAGCAUCGGGGAACCAUACUGGGCGCUCUGAAGGAGAACCAGGUUGUUCUGGUUGCUGGUGACACAGGUUGUGGAAAGUCGACCCAGAUUCCACAGUAUCUGUUGGAUGCUGGUUACGAAGGAAUUGUCUGCACACAACCACGAAGAAUAGCCGCAAUUUCACUCUGCAAGCGUGUAGCUUUCGAGACUUUAAACGAGUAUGGGACGCACAUUGGUUACCAGAUUCGUUUCGAGAAGCACCGCAGCAAGCAUACCAAGAUGCUGUUUGUAACAGAAGGCUUGUUGCUGAGACUGUUAAGUGGUGACGCCAUGCUUAAGGACUAUAAAGUGAUCCUCUUGGAUGAGAUUCACGAGCGUCAUCUCACUUGUGACAUACUGCUCGGUGUCAUCAAGUGCUUGGUGCAGCACAGGGACGACUUGAAGGUCAUUCUGAUGUCAGCAACCAUCAACAUUCAGUUAUUUGCUCGAUACUUCCAUAAUUGCCAAGUUGUUCAGGUGCCAGGCCGACUGUUCCCCAUAUCCAUCCAGCAUAUUCCAGUGCCAAAAGAAGAGCUGCGUUCCAAAUCUGGCCGCUUGAAUCCUGCUCCAUAUGUACGUCUUUUGAACCUGAUAGACCAGAAGUACCCGUCCACUGAGCGUGGGGACCUCUUGGUGUUUCUCAGUGGCACUGCGGAGAUCUCUGCUGUACAAGAAGCUGCUCAACAGUACGCAGACCAGAAUGGAAAUUGGAUCAUUCUGCCUCUUCACAGCACUCUUCCCCUUGCAGAUCAGGACAAGGUUUUCGACUAUGCUCCAGAAAAUAUGCGUAAAUGCAUUUUGUCAACCAACAUCGCAGAAACCUCUGUCACCAUUGAUGGUGUGAGGUUUGUUGCUGACUCUGGAAAAGUGAAAGAGAUGAGCUAUGAUGCGGGCUGCCACAUGCAGAAACUCAAAGAGUUUUGGAUAAGCCAGGCAAGUGCGGAACAGCGAAAGGGCCGUGCAGGUCGCACGGGGCCUGGUGUUUGUUUCCGGCUGUUCUCCGAAACGGAGUACGAGGCCAUGGCUCCAUACUCUACACCGGAAAUACUACGGGUGCCACUGCAUUCCCUUCUCCUUCAGCUUAUCUCAUUGGGCUUGCCUGAUGUUCGCCAGUUCCCUUUCUUGGAACCCCCACCUGUAGAGAGCAUCCUUGAGUCUCUAAGGCUGCUCAAGGAUCAGGGUGCCCUGACUGAAGAAGAAGAGCUGACACAAUUGGGGAAAAUCUUGGGCCAAUUACCCGUUGACAUAACUGUGGGGAAAAUUCUUGUCCUUGGUUGCCUCUUCCGGUUAGAGGAUCCAGUGCUUUCCUUGGCAGCUGCUCUCAGCGUACAAACACCUUUCACCCAGAAGUCAUUCCGUGAUGCCUCAACUGCAAGGAAAGAAGUGGACUCUGACCAUGGGGAUGCCCUGACGUUACUCAAUGCCUUCCACCAGUGGUUGUCUUUGAAGUGCUCAGGGGAGAACAGUACCAAAUGGUGUCGCCGAUUAGGUCUCGAAGAACAACGUUUCUAUGAACUCAUGAAGCUCAGGCAACAGUUUCUUCACUUGUUGGAGGAGGCAGGCUUGGUAGAAGAACGUACAGCUGAAACAUGUAGCAGCAGUGAACGCAUGGAAAGGCAUGGAGAACUCAAAAAACUGCGGAACUUGCGCAGACAGCUUUUACUACAACGGGGGUCACGAAAGAGGUGCAUACUGGACUUAAACAAUGACCAAGAGGACGCAGAGGACAGUAUAAACCUUGGAGACGUAAAUUUCCGGCUCCGGCAAGAUCCUUCUGAAUUGCAGUCUCUACUUCAGAAAAGCAGAGGCUAUUCCUUGCGUGACCUAAAGCUUCUCAAGACCAUCCUUUGUGCUGGGGUUUAUCCCCAAGUGGCUCUCCCGGACGAUCACAAUUCUUACAAGCGAGACUCUGACCAGCUGUUCCACACUAAGGGCAAAGGCUUUGUGGUGUUGCAUCCAAACAGUGUCCUGGCACUUGACCCAGACGUCCUUAAGCUGGAUGACAUGAAUGUGCACGUGGUGCCAGCAUUUGGCUCCAAGCGUCCUGUCAGUACAGAUCACCAGAUGGUGACAUACAUGUCUCUUCUGGAAACAGUCAAGCCAUACCUUGUGAACUGUGUGCGGGUCUGCUGUGUCCAAACCCUGCUUCUGGCAUCCUCUGCCAUUGAUUCUAGCUGCACUGUGGCUAGAUUGGUGUUUGAUGAGUUUGUGGAAGUAGUUUUCCCAGAUCCAGAAGCAGCGUGCCAGUUGGUUCUGAAGGCAGUACAUGCACGCAAGCUUUACUCCAGGCUGCUCACAAGGCAGCUCGAAGAAGCGACCAGAAGCAGUGGCCACGUGAGUCGUGUCACCAGGAGCCUGCAACGUAAAUUAAGGGAUCGCUUUAAUGAUGUUUUGUGCACUUUGAUCAUGUACACAGUCAGGCGUUUACUUCCAGCAGAUCUCAAGCACCUCUACCUGAAUGCAGCACAAAGUUCAAGAGCAGUGCUAAGCUCUGGGGAGUCCUUUGAGCCUAACCCACGAAAGGGUGGCGUGCUUCUGUCGGAGAACUUCACCUAUGGCUGCCUAGAAGAAACUGCCUUGGCUGUAGACCCGUUCACAGACUGCAAAUGGCAGUGUCACAUCUGCAACAAGGAAUUUCCUUUCUCAGUUUUGAGCUCCAUUCUGCAUCUGGAAGAGUGUGACAAAGGAAGUGAAAAUGAGACAACCACAGUAACGACAGAACAGAUGGACUCAUGUCGACGUGCCUACUUUUGCAAGACAUGUGAUCAGGAACUUUCCCUGACCCUCCCAGAGAUCUUCAAACAUCGCAGAAGCCAUGAACAGGGUGAUGUCUAGGCUGGUACCUACAAUGUCAUUUUGGAACAGGAGGAAGUUAACUGAAGUGGCAAACAGCAAUUGCUUGUGCAGAAAACAGUUCAAGGAUGACAGUGCAACUCAUCAACGAUGACAUCGACUGAAUGUCUGCCUUGUGCACAUAUUCAUGUGUCAUGAUGGGGCAGCAGGAAAGAGUGACAUGUGUGCAUACCUUGGGAUCUCCUCAGGACUGGAAUGUGCAUAGGAUGUGGAGUACAAGAACACUAAAGGUGCCACAGCUUAUGGUGGCCUUCUGUCUUCUAUCCUGGCUCUCCUAAAGAACAACAAUGCUGCAGCCUGCUCCAUUACUAGUUGCAGCACACAUUUACUUACGGUACAUGCUGUGACCCCAAGGCACUCAGAGGGGUUUAAUUCUUACGCAGACAUACAAGUAGUAAAGAUUACAGAAGUAGUUACAGAAAUGGGCGGUUGAUUACACUGGCUCUCAAUACAGCUGAAUACAGCUGUUGAAAGGUACAGGGUCGUUCAAUAAAUAUCCUCAAAACUUAAUGUUCAUGCUGCAGGGUGUAGUGUAGGUCUUCUCCUCUGUAUGUUUAGGGCCUUGUGUUUUAGGGUUAAACCAGGUUAAAAAUGUUUUUACCGGUGCCCAGUGAUUUCAUCGAAGCUGUUUUAUUGUACGCCAUUUCAUUGAAUCCCACUUCACCCAACACAUCACCAUGUGGCUGUACAAGACAUGCAGAUAUGUAUCAGGGUGCUUAGUAAACAGAAAAUGUUUGUUUCGGGUAAACAACUUUGAUGUUUGACCGUC